UUCAAUAAUUGCAUUAUCUUCUAAAUUUUACAGUGUCAAGGUAGCCUUUUAUUCACCUGUUCCCAUUCAUUUUAGUAAUUGCUUAUGAACUUUACAGUGUCUUCUGCUGAUUGGGUUUUCUUCUCAUGCAGGAUCUUAUUCCUCCGCAUCCAUAUUCCCCAGAUGCUACAAAAUAUAACUUUCCUUUGAGCACUAGUCGUUUUGGUGUGUUCCAUGGAUUCUGCCAUUUCUCUAUAGCAUGGGCAUAUAGCAUUGUUGCAUAUUCGUUUGUAAUGUAGGUUUCCCAUUGUAGGAAUAUAGCCAUUGUACACCCUCCAGUUUGUAAUUUUUAUUUUUCCUGGUAGAUCUGUUUGCCAAAGCUCUUUGUGGAAGAAUGUAUUUAUAUCUGUAAUAUUUGUCGUCGUAGUGUUUAGUUUUGAUAUUUCCUUUGUAAGCCAUCUGUAGCCACUCCUCACUGUAUAUUCCCCUGUUUGUUCCCUGUUCCAAAUUCUGAAGUCUUCUUGUGGAUACUUUGCCAACGAAGUACUUAAUAUUGCGUUCGUCUCUUCUCUUGAGACAUCUUCUUUCCAUAUUCUAAGAUUUGGAUCAAUUAAAUCUGCUACUUUCUCAUAGCUGUUAUUUCUGA